AGGAUUAUAUUUAAUUAUAAUAUUUAAUUUGCAAUUAAAAGGUACCUCUUUGGUUAAUCUUU
rnacentral:tRNA from 1 species